UGGGGAAUCUUCCGCAAUGGGCGAAAGCCUGACGGAGCAACGCCGCGUGAGUUAAGACGGCCUUCGGGUUGUAAAGCUCUGUUAUUCGGGAAGAAAGAGUCGCUUGUGAACAAUGAGCGAAAGUGACGGUACCGAAAGAGAAAGCCACGGCUAACUACGUGCCAGCAGCCGCGGUAAUACGUAGGUGGCAAGCGUUGUCCGGAAUUAUUGGGCGUAAAGAGCGCGUAGGCGGUAGUGCAAGUCAAUCUUAAACGUGCGGGGCUUAACCCCGUGAUGGGAUGGAAACUGUGCGACUGGAGUAUCGGAGAGGAAAGUAGAAUUCCUAGUGUAGCGGUGGAAUGCGUAGAGAUUAGGAAGAAUACCGGUGGCGAAGGCGACUUACUGGACGAAAACUGACGCUGAGGCGCGAAAGCGUGGGGAGCAAACAGG
rnacentral:rRNA from 1 species